CUUUGCCUUUAUCAGCUGCCACGGGCAGAUGAAGAGACAGAGGGUCAGAGAAGAGGAGUGGCGUGGCUCAGAUUACCCAGGGCAAAGCAGCAGAGAAGCAGGGUCUGAGCUGGGGUCUCAGGGCCCUGAGGGCCAUCCUGCAGGUGCAUGACUGCACCCCACACAAUGUCGUGAAUGUCGUAUUGGCCAGAAUUGGGUCACGUGCACAUUUCUGAACCCAUCCCAGAGAAGGGAGAUUGGCUGGCUCACAGACCCAUCGAGGCCGUCCCUGGAGCUGGUGGUGGGCUCAGCUAUCCCUGAGGGGCCCGGUCAGCGGAGGCUGUCAGGACUCUGAUAAAGCCGGGGUUCGUCCUUCCGGGUAAGAACCAGCAGAAAUACCCGCAACCCGUUCCUUCCUGAAGGGUGACGUCCACACUGCUGACGGCACACAAGCCCCCUGAAUCCCAUCCUCAGAAACAAUCAUGCCCAUCAGUGUUUCCUCCCAGACAUAUUACGGGCAGACACCAGGACAUACGUGUGUACAUACAUGUGUUGCCCCAGACAGGCGUUCAGAUGGAAACCCACAGCGAGGCCAGAGGGCCCGGCCAGCGGCAGAGAGAGAGCAGGCUCCCGGCCUCGCCGACAAGGGUACCGAGUCCAGGGAAGUCGGGAAACCCUCGGUGUUGGUACCUCCCCGCGUCUGUAUUUUGCACAGCCCCCUGUGUUUCUGCCGCGGGUCUUGGGAUGGAAGAAGGCGGGCAGGACCCAGCAGUUCAAAGGGAUCCGCCUGGGUAUUUGUGCCCGGGCAAAUCAGCCGAAUGAAUAACACAGCAAGCUGGGGACAGCUUUGUCGCUGUCCCUAAUCAUUCAGAACCAACCGCUCGCUCAGACGAGACCCGGGGCACCGCCUCGGCCUCCUCACUCUCGCGAUCUGCCAGCACCAUAAUUAUCUUAUUACCAGCCACCUUGUGCUAAUAACCUUUCCCUUUAUUACUGAGAAAGGAAUUAGAGAGAACUAAUAGAGCGCGGCCAGUAAUUCAUUUGUGACCUUGCAUGUUUUUUACCCUGGGCGCCCAGUGAAGACAGAAGUCAGGGGAAGGCGCCCCCCCCACCCCCACCGCCCCGGGGCUCUGGUUCUUCUCCGACCGUUUCGUGAUGUGCUGUCCACAGAGCUUCCCCUUCUGGGGACACGUCUCAGGUUCUGCUGGUCCUGAGCUGCCCCCUGCUUGGGCAAGAGCAGGGGUUCUGGGGAGUCGUCCCCUGGAGGAUGGGAAGGGCAGGGACAGGGGACACGACCCUUCCCUGGCCUGGUGUGGCCUCCUGCUUCCUCUUGGCCUGAGCACAGCAGUCAGCUGCGGUCCGUGGUGGUCAUGUGUCAGCUGAAUCCUCUGGCACGUGUGUCCUUGCUCUUGAUGGGGACGGUGGCUUCCCUGUCGUGGGGAAGAAAGCUUCCAGCAGUCUGCUUUCCCAGUGCAGGGAACCCUGGCUGGUGGCUGGCCCGGAUCCCUCGGAGCCCUUGGCGAAUCUGCGCCUUCAGCCCCAGGUUCUGCGUGCUGUCUGCUGCUGACGGCCGGCAAGGCUCCCGAGGGCUGGCUCUGGGCUGCUGGAGGCCUCUCACCGCCCUGCCUGGCGAUGACGUCCCCUGGCACAGCUGUCUGGCAGCACCAGCUGGCACAGGGAUGAGUGCCUGGUCCUAAGGGGGGGGCCCCGUGCCCACAGCUCCCCGUGGGACCAGGCCAAGGCCAAGACUUAACCUAAAACUGCCCCCUUUCCUGACUCACUUCCCCUCUCCCUCCCCAGCUGUGCCAGGAGCACGACCUUAGCCGUAAGUCACCCUCAUAGAACUGUCACCUCAGAGUCUGCCUCUGAGGAGACCGACCCGAGACACCGUUCUGAGCUAGGAGAGGCCCCGGGACCUAAUUCUGGCCAGCGGACGUGAAGGAAGAGUCUGGGGAAGGUUUUCCCUCCCUGAGGAGCACAAUUGUGUGAGGAAACGUGGCCAUGGCGGCCAUUAUGAGCUCAGGAGGGGUGCCGCAUGGAGUGGGUAUGGGUCUUGGGUCCUUGUGGUUGCCACCGAGCUGGCCACCAGUCCUGCGGCCACCUGCCCGUAUCUCCACCUCUGUUCUUGUGAGAGUACACUGGCCCUUUCUCAUGGAAUCUUCUAGUCAGAUGUGGUUACUUGCAGCAGGAAGCAUGCUCACUGACAGAGACCCCCCAAGACCCCAACCAUGCCCGGGAUUGACCCCCAAUGACCCCUGUCUGGUGAGUGCAUUAGACCUGUGGGGGGACGUUCACCCUCCGUCUGACCAACAGAACGCGAAAGGAGGACUUCUGGGUCCUCCUGGGGAGAAGGUCUAUGUGCGCUCCCCACACUGUCAUGGCCGCCGGGCCCAGGAGAAUGUCACCACCGGCCUCUCCAGUGGAUGGAUUCAGAGUCCAGCUACUAUGCCUGGGGCCCACGGGGUUGGGGUGGAGA